rnacentral:rRNA from 1 species
AUUGAACGCUGGCGGCAGGCCUAACACAUGCAAGUCGAGCGGAAACGGCAGUAUUGAAGCUUCGGUGGAUUUACUGGACGUCGAGCGGCGGACGGGUGAGUAACGGCUGGGAACCUGCCCUGACGAGGGGGAUAACCGUUGGAAACGACGGCUAAUACCGCAUAAUGUCUACGGACCAAAGGUGGCCUCUACAUGUAAGCUAUCGCGUUGGGAUGGGCCCAGUUAGGAUUAGCUAGUUGGUAAGGUGACGGCUUACCAAGGCGACGAUCCUUAGCUGGUUUGAGAGGAUGAUCAGCCACACUGGGACUGAGACACGGCCCAGACUCCUACGGGAGGCAGCAGUGGGGAAUAUUGCACAAUGGGGGAGACCCUGAUGCAGCCAUGCCGCGUGUGUGAAGAAGGCCUUCGGGUUGUAAAGCACUUUCAGCAGUGAGGAAGGUAGUGUACUUAAUACGUGCAUUGCUUGACGUUAGCUGCAGAAGAAGCACCGGCUAACUCCGUGCCAGCAGCCGCGGUAAUACGGAGGGUGCGAGCGUUAAUCGGAAUUACUGGGCGUAAAGCGCAUGCAGGCGGUUUGUUAAGUCAGAUGUGAAAGCCCGGGGCUCAACCUCGGAACCGCAUUUGAAACUGGCAGGCUAGAGUCUUGUAGAGGGGGGUAGAAUUUCAGGUGUAGCGGUGAAAUGCGUAGAGAUCUGAAGGAAUACCAGUGGCGAAGGCGGCCCCCUGGACAAAGACUGACGCUCAGAUGCGAAAGCGUGGGUAGCAAACAGG